ACUUUUGUACAAUGGGGGAAACCCUGAUACAACCAUCCCGCGUGUAUGAUGAAGGNCUNNGGGUUNUNAAGUACUUUUGGUAGNNNNNAAAAGAUAUCUACUAAUACGAGAUAAUGCUGACGGUAUCUGAAGAAGAAGCACCGGCGAACUACGUGCCAGCAGCCGCGGUAAUACGGAGGGUGCAAGCGUUAAUCGGAAUUACUGGGCGUAAAGCGUGUGUAGGCGGUUCGGAAAGAAGGAUGUGAAAUCCCAGGGCUCAACCUUGGAACUGCAUUUUUAACUGCCGAGCUAGAGUAUGUCAGAGGGGGGUAGAAUUCCACGUGUAGCAGUGAAAUGCGUAGAUAUGUGGAGGAAUACCGAUGGCGAAGGCAGCCCCCUGGGAUAUACUGACGCUCAGACACGAAAGCGUGGGGAGCAAACAGG
rnacentral:rRNA from 1 species